UCAAUAGAUAAACUAAGCAGAAUUACCAGCGGAGGAAAACACUCAAUGGCAUAUUGUUUGGGAAUAAUUAAUCCACCACUUAAACUGACGUCAGACGCCGUUAAAAUUUUACUAAAAAAAUAAACUAUUGGUCUUCGAGUAUCCAUAGUAGUAUUAUGGGUCAUAACUUCCU
rnacentral:sRNA from 1 species